GGAAAUGGUCACUAUCUUUGAUUUAUUCCAUAUAUCAUAUAUGUGUCAUUUACUUAAUUUGGGGACUGGGGUUAAAACGUGGCUACUACAGCAAUUUUAUCUUAAACUAAGUAAGCAGCUCCUUGGAAGGUAAGAUAGACCGAUCAACGUACGAUUAAGUAUAGGGUAAAUUGCAGGCCACACCCGUUGACCAUGUUUUAUUUCCAUGGAUUGUCAAAGUCAAAUGUGGUUUUCACCAUUUGUCUUUUCGCCUGCAAAAUGACGCUUCUGCCCUUGCGCUUCUCUCUUAGCAACUGUUGAAAUGUACGGUUUAGUUUAGCAGGUUUAGUUACGUACACUGUUCCGGUUCAGUUGAAGAUUUUUUGUUCACGUUGACGCGAUCGGUUCCGUUACAAGUGAGAUUAUUCCGAAGUGACAUCAACAUUUAAUGCCCCCAAAAAGUUUAGAUGUGACUAUUGUCACAAUUAAUGCAAAAUCAUCAUUACAUCAAAUAAUAUUAAAAAAAUU
rnacentral:sRNA from 1 species